CCCGAGCCGGUCGCGCCCCGAGCCCCCCGCGGAGCCAGCCGGCCCGCGGCCCCUUACCUUGGCCCGGCAUUUCGGAUGACAGGAAAAACUGCAGACUGCGAGAGGGCGACACAGAAAGAAAGUUUAGCCGCGAGGUCAGGGGCUGGAUCUUGGCAGCAGUACCUGGCACCGCAUCCAGCCCAGAGGGGGCUCAGUUCACGAUCAUCAGAUGGAUGCACGUGCAGCCCUCCCGGGUGAUGACCUGACGGCAGAUACCACAGGGCUUCACCUUCUUGAAGGUCUUCACCUUGAAGUGGGUUUGAAAGCGCUGGAAAAGAUGAGCAUGCAUGUUCCGAUCACCGUGAUUCACCGUUUGCUAAUGUUGUGCUGCUUUUGCCUGCGCUGUUUCUCCGCCUCUGGCCCUACAGAAAGCCCUACAGAAAGCCAGCGGUGAUGAUCACACGCAGGGAAUCCGGCAUCAGCACUGUUCUCUAAGAUUUCGUUCAUAUUCGAAUUUCCCCUUUGGCCCCAUUAACAUCCAUCAUAGCUGGGUCUUUGGUUUUGUUUUGCUCCGGGACUCAGGAUCCACCAGGACCCUGCAUUACAUUUCCUUGCUGGGUUCCCUUCAUCUUUCAUCUAGACACACUACUCCACCUUUUGAUUUCCCUUUUUUGAAGACUCUGGGCUGUUUUGCAGGAGGUCCCUCAGUUUGGAUUUGUCUGCUUACUUCCUCAGGAUUCCAUUUGGGCUGAGCGCUCCCCACCCCCAGGCACCCCCUCCUCCCCUGGUUGCACUUUCCUGGUGCCCCCUCGGAGCCCUCUAUGCCAUCGGGAGUUCCUGCUCCUUCCUUGCUAGCGAGGUGGCCCCAGGCAAGUGGAUUAGCCCCAUCUGCCUCACUUUACUAAUCGGUUAAAUGGGCUGGUAAUAGUCACCUCCCACAAGUUGUUCUGAGAUAAUGCCUGGCCCGUGGUGAGCAGCCCCCAGGCAUUACACGUCAUCUGUCACUCCUGUGUGCACCAGACUAGCACACAGGGGGCACGCGUCCGCCGGGCCUUCUGUUCCAUGUCCCCGUGCCCUGGACCGAUGUGAUCCCUAAACAAGUCUGAAGGAACAAACUGAGUGGAUUUGCUGUCUUGCCUCAGUUUCCCCACGUGUGGUUGUACCCCACGCGCACUGGCCUGCCCUUGGGGAGAGGACACGGGUCACCCCCUUCACCAGCCACAGGUGCUAGCUGAGAUGAAACUCUGACUCCGAGUAGCCCCGCUUCUCCGCGGAGGAAGGAGGGCAGGGGGUCACACUGACUGAGCUCCUGCCCUGUGACAGAGAACACGGGGGGCUUGGGAGCCCAGGACUCAGUCCCAGACUCAGUUUCUGGAGCUGGAUCAUCUCCCCCUUCAGCUUGCUUCUCUCUCCCCUGCUCAGCAACUUCAUACACCACGUCCCCACAUGCCUGAGCAGCCAGUCGCAGGUCCCUUUUUGUGCCCUAAAGUGAGUCAUCUCCUGGGGUGGCAGGGCUCAGAGACGGGACAGGCUGAGCCCCAUGCAUGGGCCGGUGCCACGGCGAGGGGCUAGCCCAGAUUCCCUCACUGACCCCUCACAGUGACAAGGAGCCCGAGGAGCCUGCUCUGGACACACAGGCAGGGCAGGAUGGAACAGAGAUUCAAAUCCAAGUCUGUCUGAGGCAGGGUCCCAAGUCCCUAGCCACUGCACUCCCAUGUCACUGACAGUGUGCCAGAGGCCCUGACCGUCCCAUCCUCGGCGCCCCUCUGCCCAAAGGCCACCUCCUGGCAGUUUCCCCAGUUCUGUCCAUCCACAGUUACCCUUAGCUGCUGCACUUGGACUUCUGAGCUCUCAGCUUCACCCCUGCAUUGAAUUAUACCUCUCCUAAUACCUCCCCCUCCUCCAGUCCAGGUGAGGUCCCCCCUUACCUGCCCCCACAGCUUCCGUCUUGGCAACACCCACCUUACUGUAAUCAUUAGCCCAAGACCUGCAAGCUUCUUGAAGAAAGUAGGCACCCCAUAAUCGUCCGUGAGAUGGAUGGACGGGCAGCGGGUGGGUGGGUGCCUGCGUGGCCCAGUGGCUGGACGGUGUCUCCAUCACACACAGCACUUCCCUGACACCAGCCGCUACCCCUGGACUGCCGGCCCCCAACUCACCCCCCAACCCUGAGCUCCAACACCCUCCCAGCGCCUACCCUUCCCUGUCUAGGACCACUGAACCCAGAAGCCACGUGGGCCUUGGGCAGGCCCCUUCCCCUCUGUGGGUCCCCUUCACCAUGGCCGGAAACUGGAAUCACACUGAAUCACCUUACAGAAUCACACUGAAUCUCAAACGAAACUGUUGAAGUUGAGGAACUGUACACAAGGAAGGCACAGAGAGGCUAAGUAACUCGCCUGAGCACACAGCUAAUAAGUGGUAUCCAGACAGGCUGGCUCCAGAGCCCACGCUCUGACCGUGUGCAUCCUGCCUGCAGGGGAGGGCCCUGAUUGUUCUCAGGCCUUCGCAUCACUCUCCUGAUUCUCCUGGCCCCGCACACCCUGCCCUGAAGGAUUCCCAGGAUGGAGAGCCCUUGAUGGGGCACCAGGAGAACCCGGUCUCUACUUCUGCUCUGGCUUGCUUCGUGGCUCUGAAAACAUGCCAUCAGACAGUAAGAGCUAACAUUUCUUAAGCCCUGACUGUGUGAGAGACGCUAUUCUAAAUGUAUGCAUCUAUUAGCUCAUUUAAAACCAAAUGACCCUCUAGGUAGGUGGGGAAACUGAGGCACAGAGAUGUGAAGCUACUUGCCUAAGGUCUCGCAGCUAGCAACUGGCGGGGUCGGGAUCAAAGCCAGCCCACUGCACUUCCUCUGAACACUGCAGAGGAACAGUGAGCUACUUGUCCCUGACCUUGUGCCUCAAACGUCAUUCUGAAAACCUCUGCAAAAGGAGGGUUUUAUUUCAGACUCCGGUCAGUCUCGUGUAGCCCAGCCUAGGUCCCAAGCCCUACUUAUCAGGAGGCCCCGGGUGGGCACAGCCCUCACAAGCAAACAAAACUCCAGAGCCAGCGAGUUCAGGACCAAGAGGUCAGACUGGGGCCUCUGUGGCAGAAACUGUGCCCUGAGAAUCUGCGGGCUCAUGAGGACCCUUCUGUACAAAACUGUGUGCUUGGCACUGGGAAGAACACCACUCCAGAAAAAAGAACGCUUCAUUGUCUGCAGCUGGAAGGGGCCUCUGAGAAUACUUUCUCCACUUCUGUGAGGUCCAGAAAAGUCGAGUGACCAGCCUGAGGCCACAUGGCUUCCUCAGGGCAGGGCCAAAGCACUUGCCCACCCCACCCCCACCCCGGGUGGCUCUUUCAGCCCCACCUCCCUUGAUAAGCUCCUCCCCAGUUCCCGGGAAUAGAGUGAGCCCUUCUGGAAGGAAGAGCCUGCAGCUCUAACUCCAUCGGCACAACACCAAAGAGCCUCAAUUAAUGGGCAUGUAAUUAUUUUCUAAAUAAACCAUGUUUGAAUAUGUAAUAACAGGAGCAUCUGAUAAGAAAAUCAAGUUAUGCAUAACAUGUAGCUAUGUUCCUCCACUAAUAAAGUGAUUUUUAU